rnacentral:rRNA from 1 species
UACGUAGGUGGCAAGCGUUGUCCGGAUUUAUUGGGCGUAAAGAGCGUGUAGGCGGCCAGAUAGGUCUGGUGUGAAAACUUGAGGCUCAACCUCAAGAGGUCACUGGAAACCAUUUGGCUAGAGUCCGGAAGAGGAGAGUGGAAUUCCUGGUGUAGCGGUGAAAUGCGCAGAUAUCAGGAAGAACACCUAUGGCGAAGGCAGCUCUCUGGGACGGUACUGACGCUGAGACGCGAAAGCGUGGGGAGCAAACAGG